GCCGUACCCACAGCAUAUGGAGGUUCCCAGGCUAGGGGUCAAAUCGGAGCUACAGCUGCCUGCCUACGCCACAGCCACAGCAAUGCCAGAUCCGAGCCUUGUCUGCUCCUUACACCACAGCUCAUGGCAACAGAGGCCAGGGAUUGAACGCACAUCCUAAUGGAUCCUAGUUGGAUUCAUUUCUGCUGUGCCACAAUGGGAACUCCCCUUCCUUUUUCCAACGGUUGAGUGUCUCCUGGGAUAUGCAUGCUCUGUUCCAUUUCUUUCUUUUUUUAAACAGACCCAGAGUCCCAGAAGAAGUUAGAUGUUGUGCUUACAAACUGCAUACACAUGGGCAUCAUGGAAGUGCAAAACUCCAAUAAAGAAAUAAGCACAUGGUUUCUUAGUUCAUUUUUUAUGUUAAUGAUGAAAGUGCAGGUAAGAAAAUAAGAACUAGCCUUAAGGACAUAUAAGUGAUGGAAAGAGAAGGAAAAUUCUAGGUGGAGCCCAGAGAAGUUAUCAUUCUCUUCCUAUCAACAUUGGGUGGAUGUGCAGGCCCCUUGCUUUAUAGCAGCAGAACAAAAUAAAAUGACUGAUGAUCAAAGAAACUCACAGAUGCCUACAGAAUUAAAUUAUCAACCCACUUUGACAUUUUGCAAGUAUAAAUAGAAACAGAAAUAACUAGAGGUGUAGAAAUAGUUGAAGAAGCCCCUCAACAUUAAAUUCUAAACUUCAAAUUUGAAACACCUAGAGAUUGGGGUUUCUCUGUAAUCUAUAAAUCAGCCUUAAUUCAAAGAAAUAGCCAGGCUGGCAUGGGGGAGCAACUUUAGAUCUGGCCAGCACAGGACCUGGGGAGGCUCAGUAGAGACCCACUAUCUGUUAAUAAGGAAGAAGACCCAAAACAGAGCCAGGACAAAUAAUUCUGUCAUUUUACUGUCAAAAGUGUCCAACCAUUCUUUAUUGUGAAAAGGAUACAUAAUUAAGCUGUAUCUUUAUAUUAUUAUUUUUUUUUUUACUAUUUGGCAUAUUAUUCAUUCCCAGUGAUGUUUCAUUUCUCCUCAAAUGAUUCUUUUGCAACCUUUAGAAAGCCCUGCAAUUUCCUUUUCAUUUGGCCGAACGUGGCAGACACAGGAGGGAGAGCUUCUAAAUCCUGUUGCUCAGAAUAUGGCUUUUUUUUUUUUUUUUUUUUUUUUUUUUUUUUNGGUCGCACCCACUGCAAAUGGAGGUUCCCAGGCUAGGGGUCUAAUCGAAGCUACAGCUGCCAGCCUACACCAGAGCCACAGCAACGCCAGAUCUGAGCCACGUCUGUGACCUAUAGCACAGCUCAUGGCAAUGCCUGAUCCUUAACCCACUGAGUAAGGCCAGGAAUCGAACUCAAAACCUCGUGGUUCCUAGUUGGAUUCCUUUCUGCUGCGCCACAACGGGAACUCCCAGAAUAUGUUUAAAAAAAAAAAAAAAAGCAGGACCCCAGACAGGUGUGUAACUGUUUGAAUGGGCUAUCUCUUAUACAACUAGGAAUAAGACCUACUUGGAAGAAGUUUUGCUCUAGAAACUGUUGAUGCUCUUGACUUAUUGAGGGGAGUUCCAUAAAAUGGCCAUUACCAACUGUAUAAGACAAAACUCGUGUUAGCUCGAAGGUUAGUCCCUGUUUUAAAAUCCCAAAAAAGAUAAACCCUAUUAUGGGCCAUUUCCACUUUCCCCACUGCUUCCCUGACAAGAGGUAAUGUGGGUCUGAGGAGGAAACUGAAGAUUCAUGGCCCAAAUAGAGCAGAAGUCUUGUCUUGUGUAACUGCCCAAAUGCUAAUACAAACUCAUUGUUGCUCAAUUUGUUCUUUAAAAGCUGUGCUUUAUUCUAUUAACUUUGAUUUGCCCUCUUAGCUUCUGUCAUUUUUCCAUACUGGACUGUCCUGGCAAUCCUCCUCACCUUUCUGUCUGGGUUUCAGUCUCUGACAGGGGCUCUGUGCCUAGGUCUCCCUGCCAGGAUCCAUCUGGCCCAUCGGUAACUAACAGUCAUCUUAGCCUUGUCCAGUGGUGAUAGCUUCACCCGUAGAUUUAACUGAGACAAAACUGAACAACUUACCAUAAAUAUCGGAGUCAAGAAAAAAUUAUUAGGAGACUAGGCGUACAUAAGUUUAGAUAAAAACAGAGAAGGCAGGACGACAGUGUGGUCCAAGUAAUUUUCUCUGUGCAAAGAUGCCUUCUAUUUAGUAUAACUAAACACAUUACUUCUGGGGAAAAAAAAAAACAACAACAAAAAUUCACACUCCAAAAAAGGGAGAAAAACUAGUAUUGAGAGCAAUUAUGAGUAUGACUUAAAAUGUCACUUUUCAUCUGUUGUACAGGAGAGUAAAUAUCAUGAAAACUUAACCAUGAUAAGGAAAAAAAAACACUUAACCAUGAUGAAAUAUUUGUCAAACAGUAUUUGUUCCUAUAUUAAGAAAUUAAUACCCACAUGCACAACUUUGAGUUGAUAGAAACUAAAAACUUAAGGUAAUAGAAUUAAGGAUUUCAUUUUCCUUUUUAGAGUUUUAUAUAUUUUUCAAAUUUUUUGGAAAGGCGUUUUGGAAAUAGAAAAAAAAAAAAGGUCUAAAGCUAAAAACUCUUUAACGUAAUUUUUCUUACUGAAUAGUUAUUAUCCUGUUCAUGAGACAUGACCAUAAUAACUCAAAGCCACUAUUUUUUUUUUUUUAAAUUUGGUUGAACCUGCAGCAUGCAGAAAUUCCCAGGCCAGGGACUGAACCCAUGCCACUGUAGCAACCACAACCACUGCAGUGACAACAUUGGAUGCUUAAACCACUGAGCCAUAUGGGAACUCCUCAAAGUUACUAUUGACUUCAUCAGGAUGAGGCUAGCUAUGUGCUUAAGUAAUAAUUGAAGUAAGGAUGAGAAAUAAAUUUUACGGAAAGUAAGAAUAAUACUAUGCCUUAUCUAUAAGAUCCCAAACCAGAAUAUAUUUGAAAAUAUUUGAGUGACUGACUUUUUUUUUUUUUACUUUUCGUCUUCAUUAGUGAUACUAUGCAGCUAUCUAUAGUUUGGUAUCUCUAACCACCAGAUAACAGUUGUGAUGACCAAAAAUGCCUCUAGACACUGCCAAAUGUCCUCUGGGGUAGGAGAGAAAUCACCCCUGGUUG
rnacentral:lncRNA from 1 species